GUUCACACUCGCAUUACCCGAUUUCGGAACGAAGUAUAAGUUUACUAGCGUUAGCCAUAGUAUAAAACUGCACAAAAUAGAUAUUAUAAUAGGCCACAAGGGCGUCCGCUUGCAAAUGCACAACCCACCCGGAAUUAUCUUGCCGAUCAGGACAAGAUACGACACUUCCGAAACACAUCUAACUGAGAGAGCAAAGCCGAGCCAAGCAGUACGUACGAUACAGUGAUCAAGUGCAGACGGAUGCAUGACCAGCACCGUCAGUGCAUUGACGUGUGGACGAUUAUAAACUGAGGGUAAAAUACAAUAUUUCCUGACAAGCAAAAUCUCACCAGAUACACCGGUGGACUGCUCGAGAUCAAUACUCCACGUGUGUGAACGACGGCGAUUAGCUACACGUUGUAGUUCUAUGUGAUCGCAUGCCCCAGUUGGCUCUGGUGAAGGUCACUUAAAGCUCGGGGAGAGCAAUCUAUUGUGUCUGUGGACUCGCUACUCAGGUAUCGCAUAACACGCACGAUCGUACGGACACUUUUGAUACCACAAGGCCUUCUACCACGGAAUAGAAGGCCUUUUUUUCUGUUUUCCAUAAUCUCCGAUCUCCAGCAUCGUUGGACGGUCAAGACUGUAACACAUCAGCACGUCGCACGACGGCAACGUCAUUGGAAACCACCACGCGGGACUCGCUCGAGAGACGGUCACCGGCCGCUUCAAUCCAACCAGUGCAGAAAGAGUGCAAGUAUUACGAGAAGCAGAGCGGGGAGCAAGGGAGGAAGCUCAUCGGCGAUCGCCGUCCGUCAGCCGGAUAGGGUGAAGACACCGAGCCGAGCAGCAUCCACAAUAGCCAGAGUGACGACGGCGGCGUGACCUGUCGUUCCAUGCAAGCAAGCGGACAGCGUAGGCUAAGUCAAAAUAGAUGGGCCCAUCGUAAGUUUUGAGACAAUUGUGCAUGUAUAGACACCUCUAGAAAUAGAAACAUUAGCAUGCUACUAUCGGUGAAUAAUUAGGCUAGGAAAAUCGUUGAUUCAAUCAAUAAAUGUAAAAUCUGUAAGGGUGAUCGAGUGUUAGUAUUUUGUUGUGGCGAGCUACGUGGCUUGGCGA